UACAGAGGGGGCAAGCGUUAUUCGGAAUUAUUGGGCGUAAAGGGCGCGUAGGCGGCCUGGCAAGUGGAAGGUGAAAUCCCUCGGCUUAACCGAGGAACUGCCCUCCAAACUGCUUGGCUUGAGUCCGGGAGAGGUGAGUGGAAUGCCGAGUGUAGAGGUGAAAUUCGUAGAUAUUCGGAGGAACACCAGUGGCGAAGGCGACUCACUGGCCCGAUACUGACGCUGAGGCGCGAAAGCGUGGGGAGCAAACAGG
rnacentral:rRNA from 1 species